GUAGGUCGUUUCAUGGGAUUUGAGUCUGAGACAUUAAUUGCCUGUAGAUAACCAAUGACCUCCGGGUGGAUAAAUACGGGAUGCAUCGCACAGUCCUCACAGCGCCAGAUAUUUCAGGUUUACCCAACAUUUUACUUUUCUUCUUCCAUAUGUCUGGAGCAUCUUAAACCAAGUUCAAGGCCUAAGACUCUACAGUGUACUCUGUUGGUUCAUACUGGAGACGGUUUGGGUCCUUCUAAAGAGCUUCCUGGGUUGGAUUGACUUCAUGUACAUAUUGGGGAGUUUCUGCUUGCUCAUAUUCCACUGUCCUUCUCUUACACUUUGUCUAAUUGGAAAGGUCCACUGAGAUACAAGAGGAGAGAAGAACUCAAGUGUGUACCUGUAGGCUCCAGAUCACACACCGGAGGGAGUCCCAUGUGCCCUGAGGGGGAUCGGCGGUAUAUUGACUGGAAAAUUGGGAAGACAGCCGAUGUGAACCAGAAACUACUUCCAGGCACAGCUACUGCGUCUACAAGUUACUGUAAAAUUGCAGAAGCGUCUAUUCCAAGUGCCUGAGUGGGCUGAGGUAUUUGUCCCAAUUUCCCAUCUGCCUGUGUCACUGUGAGAAGCCCUAUUGUGCACAAUCACACAGUAAUAAUCAGCCUCAUCCUCUGGCUGCUGCCCAGAGAUGAGCAGAAUCCUUGCGUUGGCCGAGGCAUCUUUGGAUCCAGAGAAGCAGCUGGGGACCUGGAGCCUGGUGCUUCUCUGAAUCUGUGUGGUAGUAGAGGAGAUGCUGGGAAGGGGACCGUGCAUUCUGCUGGUACCCACGCUGCUUUGAGUAAAAAUCCUCCCUGAGCCGCUGUGUAGGGUCCACAGGGCAGUCCCACAUCACCCCCUGCUGGUCAUAUGUGGAAAAAUGAAAAAUGCAAGAGAUAAUGUCUGUGAAAAACUGGUAAAAUACGUGCUUUUCUAGGAAGGAUCAAAAUUGGCUCUACUGGAAAUAAAACAAGUAAGCUUACCUAUUUUAAUACAGAAAUGCAAAAUGUUAUGGACCCAUUCCACAGAAUGACUGAACAGACAGAUAUUCUCACAUGGAAGCUCUAAAAACAUCAGAGACCAGAGGGUUCCAAUCUACUUGCUCUAUUUUUAAAUAACACUUAAAAGGAUGGAAAACUUACCAGUUCUUUUAGAGAUCAGUUAUAUCAGUUAUAAUGCAUGUUACAGUUAAAUUACAGAAAAAUAAAAAUGGCAGACGAACAACAUUAGAUAUUAUGCAAAUGUUCUAAAUAGAAUAUUAACGAAGAGAUCUCAAUACUAGAUUAAUGAAUUGAUGAAUUAUUAUCAAGUGUCAUUGAUUCCAAUGAUGCAAGUUGUAUGCAAUAGUAAGAAAUAUUUUAAUAUAACACACAAUAUAAAUAUAUAUAGAUAGAUAUGAUCAUAUGGUCUCAAAUGAUACUGGAAGGGAUUUUGACCAAAUUUAGCAUCAAUUCCUAAUAAAAGCCACAUAAAACUAAAAGCCACAAACAGAAACAUUUAUAAUACGGCCAGACACACUCUCUCACACACGUAUAAUGAAAUCCUAGUGGCAGCAUCUUAGUCAAUGGAGUGGUAAAGGGCAGCAUUUCCAAAAAGAUCAGCAAUAGGCAAAGGUGAUUCCCUUUGCCCAUGUACCUCCAUUAAUAUUCCACAGUAUUCUGCAAGCAUGAGAAAAUCCAAUUAAAGUAAUGAUAUCAAUGGUUUGGACAUAGAAUUCACGGGAACAAAGAAGUAGACAUUCUUAAUGAUCCAAAUGAACGUUGUGGCCUUAGAUACUCUGGUCCCAGUGCAGAAGUGACAGCAGAGAUCACCCCAGUGAGUGACUAGUCACUAACACUCACUAGUACUGGUAACAGGUAAUGACAGAGGCAUGUGAGUGGAACAGGGGGAGCAAAGGGGAGGUCUUGGUCCACCUGCCCAGCAGUGAAGAGCAUCUUGUAAGAUAUUAGGCAGUCACCUGAGGUCUGGGGUAAUCAUCUGCAUCCCACUCACACUGCAUCCCAAGUAACAUCAGUCAUCACACUUAUGGGGCUUCUGUCUCACAGCCAGAAUAAGCCACAUGCAGACUUCCAGGGCAGAAAGUGUGGACUUUCUGCCCAAGUGACCAACACACUGAGACAGGCAUUGUGAGUCUGGUGUCACAGCACCUGCUCCAUGUGGAACCAAGGAGAAGGCAGGUCCUGUGCCUAAAAUCUUGUAAAGGUCCCCUACCAGAAGCUGGAAGAACAAGACUUCCGGGUUUGGUUGAGGCACCACUGAGCUCUGUCUCCUGAGGGUCCACUGUGCGGACUCCGCCAACAAGCUGUGUCUUGUCUUCCCAGGAGCCCACUUCCUCCUUGGAAGUGCAUUGGGGCUCCUAAUGGUCUGUCAGCCCCACCUUGUUCAAGACUCCCUGAGGAAAAAGGAGGCGAUGACCUACAUUGGAAGCCAUCAGUUAGGAAGCCAAAACCAGGAGCUCACAGGGUCACGGGAAGCCUCACGGGUGAAGGCAAGUCCCACAUCAGUGAGGACACAGGUCGCCCAACUGCCCUGGAGCCCACUGAGUGGUUGAACAUCUGUCUGACCCAACACCUGCCUCUCCUAAGUCUGAGGACACUCCAUUGCUGCCCCUGCUGGUGACUGCCCAUCCCGCAGCCGCUGUGACAUCCCUAAGCACACCACGCAGAGUGUUCGAUUUUACAGCAGUCUUCCCCAACGUUACUCCCAAGAGAGUGGAAUGAGAAAGGCCUUCUAGGAUUACAUGGGGACAGUGAUGCUCUCACACCUGCACUUCUAUUUUCAUGAAAAACUAUAAUUAUUUUCAAACUGUCAGUCUCUGUCCAUUCCACCCUAGAGCUCCAACCUUGCCUGCUGUGGCAGACACUGACCUCGGUGUGUGAGAGGACAGUGAAAGGGCGCAACAGGGACACACCUAUGCUGACACGGCCCUGUGUGCAUGUGGGUUGUGCACAUGGCUCUGUGUUUUCCUGUGGGUUGUGCACAUGGCUCUGUGUGCAUGUGGGGCGUGCAGAUGGCACAUUGUGCAUGUGGGGUGUGCCCUGGGAUAUUGGGACAGAGGAGCCUGGACAAAGCUGUGAUAUGUAAGCUUGGAUCUGUGGGAUGAGUCAAGUGAUCACCCUGGGAAAGACUGGAAGAGCCUUCAAAUCAGAGGUCAGGUCAUGUACCGAGGUCAGGAAAAGAGGGGAGGCUGGUUGCUGGUGAUGCUGGUGGAUGGCCACUUGAGGUCGGAGAGAUGGACCCUCUAAGCAGGGGAACCCAGCACCUCCAAAUGGAAUAGAAAAGAAAAAUCUCGAAAAAUUAAUAUUCUCUUACUUAAACCUUGAAAUCCUUUAUUACACAUUUUUAAGGUGUAUGAAUGUGCAUCUUCAUAUAGCCACAAAUGCAUUCACAAUGAUGUUGCCUAUACAUUUGUUAAUCAUGCAGAUGAAGAAAUUUUCACUUAUUGUAUUAUUUUUAAUACUCCUGAAUAGGCCACACAAUUGUCAGCUGGAACCCAGUCCCUGUGCUUUCCUUGGCAGUGAAUGCUGCUCUGGGAGGUCCCCAUGCACUGGGUGAGCCUGGGGAGCUCAGGGUUUGUGUCUCCUUCCCCACUGGCCUGGGGCCCCACGUGUGCACUGAGGCUGCUGUCCCACAAGGAGCAGUAAUAAUCAGCCUCGGUCCAGGCUGGAGCCCAGAGAUGCUCAGGGGGCCACACUGCCUCACCUGGAGCCAGAGAAUCUCUCGGAGACCCCAGAGGCCCAGAUGUUAUUCCUGCUGGUCAGGAGUGUGGGGACAUGGCCUUGGGGUUGCUGCUGCAGCCAUGCUUCUCCCUCAUGGCCUACAUUUUUGCUCUUUCCAGUGCAGGUGAGUGUGGCCGUCUGUCCUGGGGACUUGGUCACUGAGGGCGGCUGAGUCAGCCCUGCCUGGGCCACAGACACUGUAGGGCACAGAGAGGAGUGUGAGGGCAGGAUCCCAGCUCACUGUGAAGGAGGGUGGGGGCAUAGGGCAGAGCUGGGGGUGGAUCUCCAUCCCGAGGGUAAGUCACUCUCACCUGUGCAGGGAGUGAGGAGGUGAGGAGAGGAGCCCAGGGCACGGGAGAGACCCAGACUCUGAGCCCUAGAGCUGUGCUGUGGAGACGGAGCUGCCCUAAGUCUCUCUGGAUCUCCUGAAACUUUCAUCGGGGAUGGAGUGGAUACACUCAAAUCAGCCCUUGUUCUCUGUCUGCCUCUGGCCUCCCUGCCCUGGUCCUCACAGGGAGAUGGAGGUAGAGGAAGGAUGAGCUGACCCAGGGGGUGGAGGCCCUGGCUCUUGAUGACCCUGGGUCCUGGAGGUCAGCACAGCCCAGUGAGCACACUGAUGGCUGAACCCCUGGAGCCCUGGGUGGCUUCCCAGCUGGGAGGGGCCAUCUCAGGAUUGUCCCACACUGUCCCACAUGCCCUCAGACCCCACCCCACCCGGCCUCUCUGACACACCUGGGCCCUCCGGUUAGAGGAGGACUGUUGUCCCGAUGCUCUUCAUGAAGCUGCUCCUGGUGUCAGAGAGGGACCUGGGCAGCUGGGAUUCUAGACACCGGGGGUGUGGGUUGAGGGAUGUCCCCGUCACUACAAAGAGGCCACAGCAGCUUGCCUUUCAGCUGCAUCAGCAGAGUAUGCACAGAAUUUUAUUAGAUCAUCGAUUAUAAGUCCAAAAAUGGAGAAUAUUUUCUCUUUCAGUUUUUCAUGAGAAUUAGAUCCCAACAAUUUAAUACACUUAUUUUCCUAACACUGUCAUCACCAGGAGCUUGGGAUCGUGUGAGAUCCGUGUCGGCUCCAGUGCAGUCUCUAGGUCUUUCUUGUUUCUGACAUGACUGGAGUCAGCCUCCCUCUGUCCCCAUCACUGUCUCUCUGGAGAGACCGGGUGCCCUGGAAAAGGAGCUCCUGCCUGUGUGGACAUGAGCAGGCAGAGGGUGCAUCGAUGGGAAUGGCUCAGUCUACAGGGGAUCAGAGGAACGGACAUGCUUAGAUCGACAGACCCAUGUAGGGGGCUCAGACCCUCAGAUGCUGGUGACAGAGGUGAUGUCAAUCACAGAGGAGUGAAGGUGUGAUCAGGGGCCCCAGGGGGGUGGUUUAUGUCUCACUUCCUCGUGGGCACACAGCACUGAGUACACUGAGGUCUCUGUCAUAUGUGUGACAGUAACAAUCACCUCGUCCUCAGGCUGGAGCCCACAGAUGGUCAAAGAGACCACGUUGCCUGACUUGGAGACAGAGAAUCAUCUGGAAUCUCUCAGGGCCUGGUACUUCCAAGAGUCAGAGUUUUGGGGCAGCACCACUGACAGCUGGAACCAACACACACUAUGGGAUCCAAUGUUGCUGUUCCCGGAGCAGGAGAUGGUGACCUCCUGGUCCAGGGUCCCUGACACCGAGGAUGGCUGGGUCAGCAAAGACCGUGCCCAGGACCCUGAAAUGAGGGACACAGAGUCACAGAGGUG
ensembl:lncRNA